rnacentral:tRNA from 1 species
GUGGAGCUCGAUGGUACAGCAUGUGCUUGAUAUGCACAAAGCCCUAGGUUUGAUCCCUAGCAC